rnacentral:rRNA from 1 species
AGUGAACGCUGGCGGUAGGCCUAACACAUGCAAGUCGAACGGCAGCACAGUAAGAGCUUGCUCUUACGGGUGGCGAGUGGCGGACGGGUGAGGAAUACAUCGGAAUCUACUUUUUCGUGGGGGAUAACGUAGGGAAACUUACGCUAAUACCGCAUACGACCUACGGGUGAAAGCAGGGGAUCUUCGGACCUUGCGCGAUUGAAUGAGCCGAUGUCGGAUUAGCUAGUUGGCGGGGUAAAGGCCCACCAAGGCGACGAUCCGUAGCUGGUCUGAGAGGAUGAUCAGCCACACUGGAACUGAGACACGGUCCAGACUCCUACGGGAGGCAGCAGUGGGGAAUAUUGGACAAUGGGCGCAAGCCUGAUCUAGCUAUACCGCGUGGGUGAAGAAGGCCUUCGGGUUGUAAAGCCCUUUUGUUGGGAAAGAAAAGCAGCAGGUUAAUACCCCGCUGUUCUGACGGUACCCAAAGAAUAAGCACCGGCUAACUUCGUG